rnacentral:rRNA from 1 species
CGCUGGCGGCGUGCCUAAAACAUGCAAGUCGAGCGGACCAAAGGGAGCUUGCUCCUGGAGUUAGCGGCGAACGGGUGAGUAACACGUGGGCAACCUGCCUGUAAGACUGGGAUAACAUCGAGAAAUCGGUGCUAAUACCGGAUAAUAAAAAGAACUGCAUGGUUCUUUUUUGAAAGAUGGUUUCGGCUAUCACUUACAGAUUGGGCCCGCGGCGCAUUAGCUAGUUGGUGAGGUAACGGCUCACCAAGGCAACGAUGCGUAGCCGACCUGAGAGGGUGAUCGGGCCACACUGGGACUGAGACACGGCCCAGACUCCUACGGGAGGCAGCAGUAGGGAAUCUUCCGCAAUGGACGAAAGUCUGACGGAGCAACGCCGCGUGAGUGAUGAAGGUUUUCGGAUCGUAAAACUCUGUUGUUAGGGAAGAACAAGUGCCGUUCGAAAGGGCGGCACCUUGACGGUACCUAACGAGAAAGCCACGGCUAACUACGUG